AUUGAACGCUGGCGGAAUGCUUUACACAUGCAAGUCGAACGGCAGCACGGACUUCGGUCUGGUGGCGAGUGGCGAACGGGUGAGUAAUGUAUCGGAACGUGCCCAGUCGUGGGGGAUAACGUAGUGAAAAUUACGCUAAUACCGCAUACGAUCUAUGGAUGAAAGCGGGGGAUCGAAAGACCUUGCGCGAUUGGCGCGGCCGAUAUCAGAUUAGGUAGUUGGUGGGGUAAAGGCCCACCAAGCCAACGAUCUGUAGCUGGUCUGAGAGGACGACCAGCCACACUGGAACUGAGACACGGUCCAGACUCCUACGGGAGGCAGCAGUGGGGAAUUUUGGACAAUGGGCGAAAGCCUGAUCCAGCCAUUCCGCGUGCAGGAUGAAGGCCCUCGGGUUGUAAACUGCUUUUGUACAGAACGAAAAGGUUUCUACUAAUACUAGGAGCUCAUGACGGUACUGUAAGAAUAAGCACCGGCUAACUACGUGCCAGCAGCCGCGGUAA
rnacentral:rRNA from 1 species